GGUGCUACUGAAGAAACCCUUUAGUCUGAUUCCAUCUUGAUGCCAGGAGGCCCUCUAGCUGCAUGUCCUCCAUGAUUUAUGUAUGAAUGUAAAAAGAUGUGAUACGGCUGAUAAAAAUACAGGUUUUAUCCGAUUUCGGCUCUGUUCAGAAACCACUGGUUUCUCCGGAGUCUUGUAUUUGCCGCCCGCCGUGGCCAGCAUUUUACAGUGUUAAUCAGAUUUUGCUGUUUUUCUUCACACUGAGUCCCUUCCCUAUCCAUUCUACCCUCUUGACUCUUAUCCUCCCACCCUCACCUUCAUGGUGCAUGGGCCUAUUAAAUGGUGUCCAGUCCAAUUUCUGGCACCCAAUAAAUCUAAAUUUUCAAGCUUGGGAAGCCAGGCUCACCUACUGGCACCUAGAUAAAUGAGUCCUCCAUGAGAAACCUACACCGGUCAUUACUCAAGACUUCUGAAACCCCACCACUGGAUUUCAGGCCAGAGAAAGUCAAGUCCUCCUUUCAGGCUUCAUUCUCCGAAAAAGAAAAUAACCCACAGCCCAGGGCCUCGCCUUCAUCUACAUCUCCAGUCCCUCCAUCUGGAUGCUCAGACUGAAUCCCAGCCUCCCACUUGCAGCAUCCUGCCGGCUCCCACGUCACCCCGUCAGGUCACCCCAUCAGCUCUGUAGCUUUGAAAUGAGACUUAAUAUCUGGCACACGCGCCUGCGCUGCUCAGCUUGCCAGGGCUCCAAGCCUGAAGAUGAACAAAGAGCCUCCUUGAACUGUUUCAUUGUUUGCAACAAGCACAACCAAGAUGGGCUUCUCUCCCCAGCCCACUCUGUGGUGAAUCCCCCACUUUGUGUGGGAGGACUGUUAAUGCCCCAAAUCGAUACUCUCCAUCUAAUAGACAAAGGCUCUGACAUUGUCUCCUGCAGGAGAAGGGGGAUCUUGGGGUCAGGGACGUUUGAAACCAGGUUGUUUUCCUGGAAAACUGGUGGGAAGGAGGAGCCAAGAGCCGGGGCUGCUGGGGAAGCAACAGGAGCUCAGGGCUAUGUUUCAUUCCACGAGGCGAGACCUGGAGGUGGUGGGAAGUUGGGGACUAUUUGUAUUUACUUGUUAUUUUGACUUGUGAAAUUACUCCCUUUCAUUCCACCAGCCUUCUGCCUCUGCACAAUAAAAAUUAAUUAUAAUGAAUUAGAACCUUUAAAAACCACGCUUAAUAGUAGCUCAGAGACAGCCCCUCCUCUGGCCCCUCAC